UACGUAGGGGGCUAGCGUUAUCCGGAAUUACUGGGCGUAAAGGGUGCGUAGGUGGUUUCUUAAGUCAGAGGUGAAAGGCUACGGCUCAACCGUAGUAAGCCUUUGAAACUGGGGAACUUGAGUGCAGGAGAGGAGAGUGGAAUUCCUAGUGUAGCGGUGAAAUGCGUAGAUAUUGGGAGGAACACCAGUUGCGAAGGCGGCUCUCUGGACUGUAACUGACACUGAGGCACGAAAGCGUGGGGAGCAAACAGG
rnacentral:rRNA from 1 species